rnacentral:tRNA from 1 species
GGGGCGGUAGCUCAGCUGGGAGAGCGCUUGCAUGGCAUGCAAGAGGUCGUCGGUUCGAUCCCGAUUCGCUCCACAA